AUGGACGACUACCUCAAGCUACAUCAAGUCCCUUCCGAAGAUCAAGUGAAGUGCGCCACAAGAAACUUCCACGACUACGCCUCGACAUGGUGGCUUCACACACCUUCGGAGAGCUACGAGAUGAGUUGGUCCAAGACGAAGAAAGUGAUGCGGCCAGAGUUUGUGCCUCCAACCUACAUGGAACAUCUUCAACGCCAAUUGGAGAACACCAUACAAGGAUCCAAGUCCCUCGAUGAGUACUUCAAGAACAUGAAGGAAGCCUUGCGACGUGCCGGCGUGGACGACCCCAUUUGGAUGAAGUUCUACUUCAUGAUGGGAUUGAACAACGACAUCUCCAAGACUAUCUUUCUCAAGAACUACAAGUCCCUUGACGACAACUACUUUGGUGCUCUCAAGGCGGAGCAAGAACUCAAGAAGGCCAAGUCUACUCGACCCCGAGCUCACUUCACAACAACCACGCUACAAGAUGGCGAUAUUGAUGAUGUGCCAUCUUCGGCCUUCAUCCAUGACGAGAGUGAUGACGUGCCAUCUUCGGCCUUCAUAAAUGACGAGAGUGAUGAUGUGCCAUCUUCGGCCUUCAUCCACGACGACGACGACUACGAGAUGGUUGAGCAUGGGAUUCUCCCUUCGACCACGGCGACGUAUGAUGAGUUGAGUGACUUUUGCCACCAUAUUGAGAGUGAGAGUGACUUCACCACUAGCCCCAUAUAUGAUGAGCCGCCCCAAUUCCCAUGUGAGGAGAGCCACCACCACCACCACUUGAGUGAUUUGAGUGCCUCCACCAUAUGCGACAUUGAGUGCACCUACCUUGAGGGAGUGAGUGAGCCACCGCCACAUAGAGAGAGUGAGAUAGUUGUUGAGGCAUAUGAGGCCAUUUCAGUUUCUAACAACUUAACCUCUACCUCUAUUGUGUCUUCUCAUUUGGAGCUAGGUCCCAUAUAUGAUGACGUGCAAGAGAACAACUACACCAUCCAAGACGGAAGCCUGGAAGCGGAGAAGGAAGCGCCAAGAAGAAGGCAACAACUCCUAGGCGACCCCGUGCGCACGGGCCCCUCCAACCCCGUGCCCACGGGCCUCCCAGGCUGGCGGUCCAGAAGACCCCGUGCGCACGGGCGUGUACCGUGCCCACGGGACCCCUGUGUCCACGGCCUCACGGACCCCGUGCGCACGGGCCCUUGCGUCUGGUCCCUAGAUACCCCAUGCGCACGGGCUCCACUUACCCUGUGCACACGGCCCCCCUGUGUGAUGCUGCGGGCUUUGCCCAUGUUUUACCAUUUCGCCCCCACUUAUCCCUCUCUUUGA
rnacentral:rRNA from 1 species